rnacentral:tRNA from 1 species
UCCUCCGUGGCGCAAUUGGCUAGCGCGUCUGACUGUUAUUCAAGAAUACCAAAUCAGGAGGUUGAAAGUUCGAGCCUUUCCGGGGGAG